rnacentral:rRNA from 1 species
AUUGAACGCUGGCGGCAGGCCUAACACAUGCAAGUCGAACGGUAACAGGGAUCAGCUUGCUGAUUCGCUGACGAGUGGCGGACGGGUGUGUAAUGUCUGGGAAACUGCCUGAUGGAGGGGGAUAACUACUGGAAACGGUAGCUAAUACCGCAUAACGUCGCAAGACCAAAGAGGGGGACCUUCGGGCCUCUUGCCAUCGGAUGUGCCCAGAUGGGAUUAGCUAGUAGGUGGGGUAACGGCUCACCUAGGCGACGAUCCCUAGCUGGUCUGAGAGGAUGACCAGCCACACUGGAACUGAGACACGGUCCAGACUCCUACGGGAGGCAGCAGUGGGGAAUAUUGCACAAUGGGCGCAAGCCUGAUGCAGCCAUGCCGCGUGUAUGAAGAAGGCCUUCGGGUUGUAAAGUACUGUCAGCGGGGAGGAAGGAAGUAAAGUUAAUACCUUUGCUCAUUGACGUUACCCGCAGAAGAAGCACCGGCUAACUCCGUG